UUUUCUCAGAAAACCCUCAGGAAAUGAGGUUCUUUUUCCUAGAAUAGCAUAGGAUUUUAGCAGGCGUUUUUAGCAGGCGUUUUAGGCAUAAAUGGGCUAGUAAUGACACUGUCAUCCUCGAAAUCUUGUCCUGCGCCUCAGAUGACACAGUCAUACUGGAGGAGAGUGGCAGUCCAUCCAGAAAGCGACAGAGGGAAGAUGGAGAGGCCAAACAUGUGGUUGAAUUGGUGCUAACAAGGAAACCUGGGGGCGACCGUAUCAUCAAAGAGUACCACCGCACUAAAAGUCUGACCGACUCCUCACGCCGACAAAUGGUCAACACAUACUUGUGGCUGAUAUGACAGAAACGCAUGGGUAAUUUGGUUGUCUCUGAUUCUGUGUUUGUGCUAAAAACAUUUAUUACCGUAUGUUGUUCUUGCUAUUAGCUUUGUGCGAAAUCAUUGGAAGUAUGUCAUUUAACAGAAAUGAGUUUACUCUGAGUUUACGCUCGAGGCAUAGUUCAGCUCUUCCCGUACUUGAUGGAUCCCUACUCUAAAAAUGGAUAUGAACAUUACUAUGAUGGUGAAAGUGGCAGUGGCUAUCUGGCAUGGCGGCUUAAAACUGUGCAGAGGAGAAGUGCUUCAUCAGAGAGCAGAGGGUCAUCACGUCAGCUGAAUGGAGGACCAGUAGCCAGAAGAGAAGCUUCCUUUAGUCCUGAGAUGACCUUAAGUGAAGAGCAAUGCCAGGAGGCCAUGGCCUUAAUGAGAUACUGUACUGACGAGGCUACUAUCAAGCAGAAGAUGAUGAUGACAUUUAAACAUCGUCGCAGUAUGGUCCUCGAUGGAGAGAAAUCCUCAGAUGUCUUGACUGAAUUUCCCCGCUUCAAAGAUUUCAAAGGCCUGAUUGAGCAAGACUUCGUCCUGCAGUUUGGAGAAGGUGUAGCUGCAAGAUUUAUGGAAAGGUGGCCGACAACAUUCAAGCAAAAGGUCAUUCAUCAGUUAAAGGCUCUCCCUUCUACAAGUGACCUUGAAGAGCUUAUCCAUUGUGCUGAAGCUACACCGGAUGAAGAGGACAUUGAUGACACUCUUGCCCUUGGCUGGGACAGCGAUCUUGCAUCCAUUAUCCUCCUCCUCCACCUGAUACCUCCUUCAGCCCAAGGCCGGAGAAGACCAGGCAAGGUUUCCGCAGCCCAAGCUGAGAAACAGCUUGUCGUGUUCAAGAAGUGUUUGUGUUAAUUGCU